rnacentral:rRNA from 1 species
UGCAGUCGAGGGGUAUAGUAGCAAUACUAGAGACCGGCGCACGGGUGCGUAACGCGUAUGCAAUCUACCUUUUACAGAGGGAUAGCCCAGAGAAAUUUGGAUUAAUACCUCAUAGUAUAGCGACCUGGCAUCAGGAUGUUAUUAAAGUCAUAACGGUAAAAGAUGAGCAUGCGUCCCAUUAGCUAGUUGGUAAGGUAACGGCUUACCAAGGCGACGAUGGGUAGGGGUCCUGAGAGGGAGAUCCCCCACACUGGUACUGAGACACGGACCAGACUCCUACGGGAGGCAGCAGUGAGGAAUAUUGGACAAUGGGCGCAAGCCUGAUCCAGCCAUGCCGCGUGCAGGAUGACGGUCCUAUGGAUUGUAAACUGCUUUUGUACAGGAAGAAACCCUUUCACGUGUGAAAGAUUGACGGUACUGUAAGAAUAAGAAUCGGCUAACUCCGUGCCAGCAGCCGCGGUAAUACGGAGGAUCCAAGCAUUAUCCGGAAUCAUUGGGUUUAAAGGGUCCGUAGGCGGCCAGAUAAGUCAGUGGUGAAAGCCCAUCGCUCAACGGUGGAACGGCCAUUGAUACUGUCUGGCUUGAAUUACAAGGAAGUAACUAGAAUAUGUAGUGUAGCGGUGAAAUGCUUAGAGAUUACAUGGAAUACCAAUUGCGAAGGCAGGUUACUACUUGUGGAUUGACGCUGAUGGACGAAAGCGUGGGUAGCGAACAGGAUUAGAUACCCUGGUAGUCCACGCCGUAAACGAUGGAUACUAGCUGUUGGGAGCAAUCUCAGUGGCUAAGCGAAAGUGAUAAGUAUCCCACCUGGGGAGUACGGGCGCAAGCCUGAAACUCAAAGGAAUUGACGGGGGCCCG